CGCGAGCAGCUGCACCCCACAGAGAACGAACACAGGGUCCUCCAUGCCACAGGGUAUCACAGCAACCGAGGGCUCGGCCGUAUUUUAAAGCGAUUAGGAGUGUGUAGAUGGCAAGGAGAAUUUUAGUGACAAAAGACUAAAUACAUGCAAGUUUGCAAGCAACAGGACCUCUCUGCUUUAUAGCAGAGUUAAGUAGUUGCAAGGGAGCAGCAGGAGGGAAUCCCAUCCCACCCUAUCAGCCACAGAGUGGUUUGCAGCAUCCUCAGGAUCCCCUGCAGCUUCCCCACGUCUGGCCAGGAUCCUACACCAGUGAUGAACGUACAGUCCUGGAUGCCGUAAUUGUCUGGGAGAGCUACCAGCCAAACAUCUACCACCCUGCUCUUUCCGAGACAGACAUGGGCUAUGGGCAGUCCUGUUCUGUUCAUAGCAGAGUCUGCAGAGAACUGGGGUCCUGAUCCACACCAGGGGCUCCGUGGGCAGUUGCAAUGCAAAUAAUAAUAGGUACAGAUGAUACAUCUGAUCAAGAACAGAUUUAAGACUUUGAAAAUCAGGAUUGGUGCUGUUCCUGCACAGAGAGUAUGCACAGAGAUUUGUCUAAAUUUUGCCCUCAGUAGUCCAACAAUUUAGGCUUUAUAAAAUGUUUCUCCUCCUUAUAAGCAGCCCCUGCAAACCCCUGGAAAGACCAUGACCAGAAUAUAGAUACUGUUAUGCAUAUUCAGUAUUUAAUACCUUUGAGUUUUUCUGCUAACAUUUGUCUUUUUUUAUGACUCUUCUCACACAGCCAGAUUUCAAAAGACUGAUUUAGAGAACCCUUAAUAGGCAAAUUAUUAAGUUGUUCUAUGAAAAAGAAAAGCCUCCUUCUAAAAUGCUCUUUGAGAUGGCUAACACCCCACUGCUUUUAUCAUUGUCUCAAAAGGUGGAGCAACCCUACCAUGAUUAAUUUUUCAUGCACUGGGUAGGAAGGGAUAAUUAGAGUGCUCUUCAUACAGAUUGUCUGCAACUGCUUUCUAAUUAACUAAUUGACUACAGAGCUAAUGAGAUUCAAAAUUAAUUUUUAUAUUCGAAUUUGGCCAGACCUAUUUUAAGAACCGUGAAGACAGAUUGGCCAGAAGCUUUCAUUUGAUGUCAAAUAGAGCGUUUUUUUUGGAAAUACUGUUAUAUUAUCUCCUGGGUGAGUAUUUUGCAAUGGCUUUUGCCUCUACCUAGUGGCUGAAAGAUGAAAUGCAUGGUUCUUUUUUUUUUUUUUCCUCUUUUGGUGGGAAUUCUGCAAUAAGAAAAUAUAUCAGAAGAAAAUAUAUAGAAACAUGAAACCCACGCUAAGCUAUGGCUAUCUCUGGACUCACUUUUGCCCAUUCCACAGUCUGUUGAAAAAAAAAAAUGUUGUAUAGGAUUUGUGUUGUGGAUAUGUGAAUAAAUAUGGUGUAUUUAUAGAGC
rnacentral:lncRNA from 1 species